UACGUAGGGUGCGAGCGUUAAUCGGAAUUACUGGGCGUAAAGCGUGCGCAGGCGGUUUUGUAAGCCAGAUGUGAAAUCCCCGGGCUUAACCUGGGAAUGGCAUUUGGGACUGCAAGGCUUGAGUGCGGCAGAGGAGACUGGAAUUCCUGGUGUAGCAGUGAAAUGCGUAGAUAUCAGGAGGAACACCGGUGGUGUAGACGGCUUUCUGGACCGUAACUGACGCUGAGGCACGAAAGCGUGGGUAGCAAACAGG
rnacentral:rRNA from 1 species